rnacentral:rRNA from 1 species
AGUGAACGCUGGCGGUAGGCCUAACACAUGCAAGUCGAACGGCAGCACAGGAGAGCUUGCUCUCUGGGUGGCGAGUGGCGGACGGGUGAGGAAUACAUCGGAAUCUACUCUGUCGUGGGGGAUAACGUAGGGAAACUUACGCUAAUACCGCAUACGACCUACGGGUGAAAGCAGGGGACCUUCGGGCCUUGCGCGAUUGAAUGAGCCGAUGUCGGAUUAGCUAGUUGGCGGGGUAAAGGCCCACCAGGGCGACGAUCCGUAGCUGGUCUGAGAGGAUGAUCAGCCACACUGGAACUGAGACACGGUCCAGACUCCUACGGGAGGCAGCAGUGGGGAAUAUUGGACAAUGGGCGCAAGCCUGAUCCAGCCAUACCGCGUGGGUGAAGAAGGCCUUCGGGUUGUAAAGCCCUUUUGUUGGGAAAGAAACCCAGCUGGCUAAUACCCGGUUGGGAUGACGGUACCCAAAGAAUAAGCACCGGCUAACUUCGUGCCAGCCGCCGCCGUAA